AAUAAUACUGCAGUUUACAGUUGAGUUUUCACAAGGAGGUCCAGAAGUCUUUUUUUUUUUUACCUUAUUGUUUAGUCUUGUUGUACAGGUUACAUUUUUAUGGAGUAAAACUAGUCAUUUAUGCAAAACAUGUCGGUGUAUGUUUCUUGUCCUCCUUGUCUUUAAGUCAGAUAUCAUUCAAUUUAAAAACUCCCCUGAUAGAGUUAGUGUCAAAGAAAAACUAAAGGUUGUUGGUUUUCUUAUCAAAGAAAAUGAGUUUAUUUUUGAAUUAUCUGAAGUAAUUUCCUCCGUUACAAUUAGGGGUAAGAUUAGAGAAUUUUAAUAUUAUAGCCAAAGGAGAUUAUUCAUCUUUCCCAACCUUUUUAAAGAUUUGGAAAAAAGAUCUGGGGAUGGUUUUAGACGAAAAUACCUGGUUAAACAUUUGUGAAAGAAAACAUUUUACAUUCACACGUAACAACAUCAAGGACAUUAAUUUCAAGUUUAUCCAUAUAUUUUUUCUCACUCCCAUAUAAAUAAAUACAAUUUCCAAAGACAAUAAAGAUGACUGUCCGAGAUGCGAAACUGAAGAAGGAACAUUCAUGCAUAUGUUUUGGCAAAUACUGUUAAAACAUUUCUGGAAUUCGGUUCAUUCAUUCACAACAUUGGUCCUUGUAUUUAUUAAAGGAUAUGCCAGAUUUCCAAUUAGAAGAAUAUUAAUUACCAUAACAUACUUUGCAAAGAAAUGUAUACUUCUAUUUUUGGAAAAAUGAGUCCCCUCCUACUUCACAGCUAUUCCUGGAUCAAUUAUCACAAUUCCUACCACUAGAGAGACUGACCUUAGAAAAAAACAACUGCAGACAUUUCAAGAACUCUGGUCCCCACUAUUUUCUUUCUCUUCAAGAGGAGUUUAAUAAUGAACUUGGACAUUUUGUAGCCUGGAGCCUUUAUUUAUACAUCAUAAAGUAUGGACUAUAAAGGGUUGUUACCUUUUAAUGUUGUCACUGCUUUCUUUGUUUUGUUCGCUUUGGUUUGUUUAGUGCAGUUUUAAGUCCUUUAUUUGCUCUUUUGCUUGCUUGUCUGUCUAGUCUGUUUAUUCUGGUAUAUGGGGAUGGAGGGUACUCAAACUUAGUGUACUCUGUUGUACUUGUAUGUUUUCAUAUUGGUGCUGGUUUAUGGUACACUUGUUGGAAAUAAAAAAGAUGCUGAAAAAAAGAACUAAAGAAGCUCUUAUUAUGUUAUGGAGUUGAGCUGGAAAAAAAACCAAAACAGUUUCCAGCUUCAGGAAUCCACAAAUGUAGUGGCAUCAUGUUCACAUCACAAACAGUUUGGAUUUUUUUGUGAGGUUGUAUAUCUUAGUUUUUCAGAGUAAAGGAGUAGAUGGCAGUUGCUUCCAGUUUAGAGGAGCAGGAAGGAGUGCUACGUCGGAAGCUAAGGAAUGUACUGCUGUGGACAGGGACAGCAACAAAUCGAUUUUAGCCAUCUAAAACAGGGCCACCUGAAGCCAUUAUUACGCUCUCCUCAAAGCCACCAGACUCCACUGACAAAAAUGGUAAUUUUACCUUGCAGAAGACGGGAGCUGCUGGUCUACUACUGCCUCCAUAAGUUAGUUUAUUUGUGUAAUUGUGUGACUUUGGUGUUAAGUUCAGAUUUACCAAAGUCACACAGUAACAGAAAAAUCAAACUAAUUGAGGCAGUGGUAGCCCAGCAACCCCAGUGAGCACCAAAUGGGAUUCCGACAUUAAUUUCUGGUUGAAAACUGGUUGAUACUCGGCCUUUUCGCCCUCCUUUCAAACAGCUCAAAUGCGAUUACAACAUCAACUUGUCAAAAUACGAAUGUGUUAAAUUAUUUUUUGAUAAUUUCUUAAGUUGUAGGUCAAAAGAGAGACAUUGAAUGGGUGGAUGGAGGUGGGAGGAGUGGGUAUGGAAGGGUAGCCCUGCAACUUUGGGGAUGAUGGUAGGUUUGUUGUUCUUGUAAUUUUUCUUUUUUGAUCUCAGGGUUUCAUGCACAAUUGUAAAGUUCAGAAAAAUUAGCUUAAAUUGUAGAUGUUGAUUUUAUGUGGAAUCCAUCUGCUCAGUAAAAGAUAUUCAAAAAAGAGAGAGACAUUACUGAUUAGUGUGUGAGGUAUUUCUCCAAAGUCAUAUUGCACUGGGGGUGAAAUGUGGUCAACACCAAGACGUAAUUUGAAUGCAUUCAAUGUGAAUAUAAAUGUCAUAAAUAUGGAACUAUAUAGUCUGUGUGCUGCCACCAAGAAGCUUUCAGGACACUUCUAGUGUCAGAUCUGUACACUCUGCAUCAUUCAUGUAAAAUAACACAAUUUGGGCUUACUGCUGUAAUGCGCAUGCGCAACCUUUAAAGCGUCGUUUAGUUCAAAAGUACAGACGUCCUGCGGCCCUCCGGGACUCUAGGACUGAGGAGAAGGAGCCAACGGAAUAAACGCGAGUCUUCACGCUACCUACACACUUUCAAUACAAAGAAAACAUAAUGGAGCUGCAAAAGGCGGCAGCAGCAGCUAUGGAGCAGGUUGUCUCAACACUGUGAUGUGUCCACCAGCAGCUACAGUAAGAACAUGAAUAUAUGCGUUUACAGUGAACUUUCUUUUUGUCGGUGAAUUCCACUGUUGUUUUGUAUUUUACAUUACUCACAUUGACACUUUGUAUUUGUCUUUUUAUGGUUUUGUCUUAAUAUUUAAGAGAAGCCUGAAUGUAGAAAUACAAAACUGCACCAAUAUUUGGCAUUUAUCAUUCAAAAAGCACUUAAUGUUAAAUUGUUAACAGCUUAACACGGAAUCAUAUCUGUAUUUUUUUUAAGAGUUUUAUUUUUUAUAUUUAUUUUAUUACCUUGAAUUGUGAAAAUCCCCGUCUUUUUCAAUCAGGUUAUUUGCUAAAUACUUUUUUGAUACUCAAAAACACUCGCUGACAGA